rnacentral:tRNA from 1 species
GGAUGGAUGCCCGAGUGGUUAAAGGGAGCAGACUGUAAAUCUGCCGGCUCACGCCUACAUAGGUUCAAAUCCUAUUCCAUCCA